rnacentral:rRNA from 1 species
GACGGGUGAGUAACGCGUGGGUAACCUGCCUUAUACAGGGGGAGUAACAGUCAGAAAUGGCUGCUAAUACCGCAUAAGCGCACAGAGCUGCAUGGCUCGGUGUGAAAAACUCCGGUGGUAUAAGAUGGACCCGCGUUGGAUUAGCUUGUUGGUGGGGUAACGGCCCACCAAGGCGACGAUCCAUAGCCGGCCUGAGAGGGUGAACGGCCACAUUGGGACUGAGACACGGCCCAGACUCCUACGGGAGGCAGCAUG